AUUGAACGCUGGCGGCAUGCUUUACACAUGCAAGUCGAACGGUAACGCGGGGGCAACCCUGGCGACGAGUGGCGAACGGGUGAGUAAUACAUCGGAACGUACCCAGUUGUGGGGGAUAGCUCGGCGAAAGCCGGAUUAAUACCGCAUACGACCUACGGGUGAAAGCGGGGGCUCGCAAGACCUCGCGCUAUUGGAGCGGCCGAUGGCAGAUUAGCUUGUUGGUGAGGUAAGAGCUACCAAGGCGACGAUCUGUAGCUGGUCUGAGAGGACGACCAGCCACACUGGGACUGAGACACGGCCCAGACUCCUACGGGAGGCAGCAGUGGGGAAUUUUGGACAAUGGGCGAAAGCCUGAUCCAGCAAUGCCGCGUGUGUGAUGAAGGCCUGGUGU
rnacentral:rRNA from 1 species